rnacentral:rRNA from 1 species
AGGGGCAGCAGAAUGCAAUAUUUGCUGGCGACCGGCGCACGGGUGCGUAACACGUAUACAAUCUGCCUUUAACAGGGGGAUAGCCCGGAGGAAUCCGGAUUAAUACCCCAUAAUAGAUCGAAUGGCAUCAUUUGAUUUUGAAAGCUCCGGCGGUUAAAGAUGAGUAUGCGUCUGAUUAGCUAGUUGGUGAGGUAACGGCUCACCAAGGCGACGAUCAGUAGGGGAUCUGAGAGGAUUAACCCCCACACGGAUACUGAGACACGGAUCCGACUCCUACGGGAGGCAGCAGUAAGGAAUAUUGGACAAUGCCCGCAAGGGUGAUCCAGCCAUGCCGCGUGCAGGAAGACGGCCCUAUGGGUUGUAAACUGCUUUUACACCGGAGAAAACCUCCCCUCGUGAGGGGAGCUGAUAGUGUGGUGAGAAUAAGCAUCGGCUAACUUCGUGCCAGCAGCCGCGGUAAGACAAAGGAUGCAAGCGUUAUCCGGAUUCAUUGGGUUUAAAGGGAGCGUAGGUGGCCUUAUAAGUCAGUGGUGAAAUCUCUGGGCUUAACCCAGAAAUUGCCAUUGAUACUGUAGGGCUUGAGUACAGUUGCUGUGGGCGGAAUAUGACAUGUAGUGGUGAAAUACAUAGAGAUGUCAUAGAACACCGAUUGCGAAGGCAGCUCACAAAACUGUAACUGACACUGAGGCUCGAAAGUGCGGGGAUCAAACAGGAUUAGAUACCCUGGUAGUCCGCACCGUANACGAUGAUUACUCGCUGCUAGAGGGCAANUUUUAG